rnacentral:rRNA from 1 species
AUGGCGGCCGCCACCAACACCAAGCAGAAGCAGCCGGCACCAAUGCCGGAGCUUGCCAACGGCGAGAAAGCCGAAGCGGUGGUCGAGAACCUGGCAGCGGGAGUGAUACGGGGCACCGAGGAAGGGAAAGCCAAAGCUGUAGCCGCUGCCGUGGAAGCCAAAGCGGUGCUGGAGAAGAAGGCCACGGCAUGCAGCGGCUGGAAAGAGCGCGUGGCAGGGGUGCUGGAGCAGCUGACAAACAUGAAGUGGGCGGACGGCGUGGUGGAGAAGGCAAGGAACAACAAGGAGGUGGUCGCCAUAGCCAUCGCUGCUUUCUCGCUCGGCUUCUUCGUCUCUCACAAGUUAUUCAGGAAGUGA